rnacentral:rRNA from 1 species
UGGGGAAUUUUGGGACAAUGGGCGAAAGCCUGAUCCAGCAAUGCCGCGUGUGUGAAGAAGGCCUUCGGGUUGUAAAGCACUUUUGUCCGGAAAGAAAUCCUUGGCUCUAAUACAGUCGGGGGAUGACGGUACCGGAAGAAUAAGCACCGGCUAACUACGUGCCAGCAGCCGCGGUAAUACGUAGGGUGCAAGCGUUAAUCGGAAUUACUGGGCGUAAAGCGUGCGCAGGCGGUUUGCUAAGACCGAUGUGAAAUCCCCGGGCUAAACCUGGGAACUGCAUUGGUGACUGGCAGGCUAGAGUAUGGCAGAGGGGGGUAGAAUUCCACGUGUAGCAGUGAAAUGCGUAGAGAUGUGGAGGAAUACCGAUGGCGAAGGCAGCCCCCUGGGCCAAAUACUGACGCUCAUGCACGAAAAGCGUGGGGGAGCAAAACAGGAUUAGAUACCCUGGUAGUCCACGCCCUAAAAC